GCGACAGGGGGAUAAGGCCGGGGAUGGAAUUCUUGUUGGUUGGUGGGAAGUGUUGAAGUGGCUUCAAACGAGGAGGGAAGGGGACAAUGAUAGCGAUUUAGAGUGGACUGCAAUGGUGAUUGUCCUCUUUACAAUGGGGGUUUAUUUUAUUGAGGGCAACCGCUCGAAAGCUCCGGCUAGACCAAAGCGAAGAAAAGCCGAGUUUCUUCGAUCUAGUAGCGGCAGCUCAGUUGACCUUGACAACUGGGAUAGUAUGCUGGACCAAGAAACUGGAUCGCGUGGUGUUGCCUCAGCUUGGAUGACGGGCUCUUCUUGGGGUUGGAUUUCGGAAGGCGAUUUGAAGACUAUGGAAGAAGUAUCCUGGGCAGAUCAUCGACCCGGUCCUGAGACGGCAGCCAAUUCCCGAAAAAAUCCCUAUAUUCUUCGGUGUGUGGCGUUAUCCCGAGAGUUUCUUGCUUCUCCCCAAGGUGAGGCUGCAAUGGGUGCGGAAGGCUACUUGCCAACUGCAGUGUCUUGCGACUCUGACACGAGACGAACUGCUCUUGGCACGAUAUUGGUGGGACUACAUUUAUUUCGUGAGGAGCAGAAGUUGUCUACCAUCAAUGCAGAGAGUUCUUAUUCGAAAGCUGGCCUUCUUGCCCCAGUCUUAGCACAAAUUGGUGGAUGGCUGGGGUGGGAAUCCUGGAACUGGAAAGAUCAUGGCUAUUACGGCGUCGAGAUGGCGAGUAUAGAUCGGUGGCUGUUUGAAGAAUCCAGAAUUUCAACUUUGGACUUACCUGAAGAGCCUUUCCCCCCACCUUCGAUACUCUCAUUUAUUGAAAAAUCUCUGAACCAUGAACAAGUUAAAUUCUUGACGAUUCUCGACAUAGUACCAAGCUCUGCGUCACCAGCCAGGCGAGAUUCUGCCAUGCAGCGAGCUAUGAGGCUCACACCAAGGACUUUGGCAUUAAGUGGUUUCAUUUCCGAGCUAAAACCACAAACUACUAUUGAGGAACGAGUGGAACUGUUGUUUCGUUGGGGCUUAACAAGUUCCGUAAUUGAUACCCUCCCUGACGGAAUCAGUGCUUCCCUUCACGAAGCGAUUGCUCAAUGCCAACCGGCGCCUCCAAGCCACUGGGGUGGCUCCAUGUUCGCAUUGAUCGACAGAGGCGACCUUCUCAUGUCGAUGACUGAAGAUAGGGCCAGUACUCCAAUAUCAAGGUCUCCAUUUAUCCAAUCCCACGAUGCUGUACGUGACGUUCAUUCGAUUGGGAGCCAGUCACUCGAUGGGACUACUUUGAAUUCUUUCGAAGUUUCCGCUGAAGCCGAUAGACAGUUAAUUACUCGGCUUAUUUUCCGCGAGAUCGACGCUUUUAUGAAGCAUUUAGGAUUCUUAAUCAAUGAAACCUCCAUAUGUGGAAUGUGUCCCAGCCCCAGGAUUGUCUG
rnacentral:sRNA from 2 species